AACGCUGGCGGCAUGCCUUACACAUGCAAGUCGAACGGCAGCAUGGAAGAGCUUGCUCUUCUGAUGGCGAGUGGCGGACGGGUGAGUAAUGCCUGGGGAGCUGCCCAAUCGAGGGGGAUACCAGUUGGAAACGACUGCUAAUACCGCAUACGCCCUGAGGGGGGAAAGGUGGGGGAUCUUCGGACCUACCGCGAUUGGAUGCACCCAGGUGGGAUUAGCUAGUUGGUGAGGUAACGGCUCACCAAGGCGACGAUCUCUAGCUGGUCUGAGAGGAUGACCAGCCACACUGGAACUGAGACACGGCCCAGACUCCUACGGGAGGCAGCAGUGGGGAAUUUUGGACAAUGGACGCAAGUCUGAUCCAGCAAUGCCGCGUGCAGGACGAAGGCCUUCGGGUUGUAAACUGCUUUUGUACAGAACGAAAAGGCUCUGGUUAAUACCUGGGGCUCAUGACGGUACUGUAAGAAUAAGCACCGGCUAACUACGUG
rnacentral:rRNA from 1 species